rnacentral:rRNA from 1 species
CCCAGACUCCUACGGGAGGCAGCAGUGGGGAAUAUUGCACAAUGGGGGAAACCCUGAUGCAGCGACGCCGCGUGAGUGAAGAAGUAUUUCGGUAUGUAAAGCUCUAUCAGCAGGGAAGAAAAUGACGGUACCUGACUAAGAAGCCCCGGCUAACUACGUGCCAGCAGCCGCGGUAAUACGUAGGGGGCAAGCGUUAUCCGGAUUUACUGGGUGUAAAGGGAGCGUAGGUGGCAUGGUAAGCCAGAAGUGAAAACCCGGGGCUCAACCCCGCGGAUUGCUUUUGGAACUAUCAGGCUGGAGUGCUGGAGGGGUAAGCGGAAUUCCUAGUGUAGCGGUGAAAUGCGUAGAUAUUAGGAGGAACACCGGUGGCGAAGGCGGCUUACUGGACAGAAACUGACACUGAGGCUCGAAAGCGUGGGGAGCAAACAGGAUUAGAUACCCCUGUAGUC